GAUGAAGAACGCAGCGAAAUGCGAUAAGUAGUGUGAAUUGCAGAAUUCAGUGAAUCAUCGAAUCUUUGAACGCACAUUGCGCCCCUUGGUAUCCCGAGGGGCAUGCCUGUUCGAGCGUCAUUUCACCACUCAAGCCUGGCUUGGUGUUGGGCGACGUCCCCUUUAGGGACGCGCCUCGAAACGCUCGGCGGCGUGGCACCGGCUUUAAGCGUAGCAGAAUCUUUCGCUUUGGAAGUCGGGGCCCCGCCUGCCGGAAUACCUACUCGUAAGGUUGACCUCGGAUCAGGCAGGGAUACCCGCUGAACUUAAGCAUAUCAAUAAGCGGGA
rnacentral:misc_RNA from 1 species